rnacentral:lncRNA from 1 species
GAAUUACUAAAUGGAGAAACUUCCUAGAAUGGCCCAUGCCUCUAUAGAUUCACUGGUGAAUUAUACCAAACAUUUAAGGGAGAAUCAAUAUAAAUUUUUUAUGAACUCUUACAAAAGAUAAACAAGGAGGAACACUUAACAAUUUAUUCUGUGAGGUGAGUAUUACCCUGAAAUCAAACCACACAAAAUCCUCACAAUAAAAUAAAACUACAGGCCAAUGUCUCUUGCAAAUAUAGAAAUAAAAAUACUAUGAAUAUUAAAUAUAAAAAUUACUAGCCAACAUAAUCUAGGAGCAUAUAAAAGGCAUUAUACACCAUGACCGGCUGCUCCAAAUGCAGUGGUGACACAAAUAAUUGAUCACAGCCGGUUACAGAUUUCUUUGUUCCUUCUCCACUCCCACUGCUUUACUUGACUAACCUUAAAAAUUUUUUUUAAAAGUUUAAAAAGCAUUAUACACCAUGACCCAAUGGAAUUUAUCCCACAAAUGUGAAGCAUCUAAAAACCAUCCAUUGUAAUUAACCAUAUUUAGAGAAUAAAGGACAAAAAACAAAUUAUCAUCUUAAUAGACAUAGAAAAGCCAUUUGUCAAAAUGAAACAUUCUUUUCUAAUAAAAAUAUCCAACAAACUAGAAAUAGAAAGAAGUUUCCUCAACUCAAUAAAGGGCAUUUAUAAAAAACCUAUAGCUAACAUCACAUCAUACUUAAUGGUGAAAAACUGCUUUUUUUUUUCCCAAAGAAACAAAUAUUAGUAGAUCUAAAGGGAGCAAUAGAGAGCAAUAAAAUAAUAGUAGGGCACUUCAACACCCUAAUUUCAGCAAAGGACAGAUCAUAUAGAUAGAAAAAUCAAUGUACAGCCAAGAAGCAUAUGAAAAAAUGCUCAACCUCGCUAAACAUCCAAGAAAGGCAAAUUAUAUUGACAUAGUUUGGCUGUGUCCCCACCCAAAUCUCAUCUUGAAUUGUAGUUCCCAUAAUCUCCACGUGUCUUGGGAGGGACCCAACGGGAGGUAAUUGAAUCUUGAAGGCGGUUACACCCAUGCUGCUGUUCUUGUGAUAGUGAGUCCUCACUGGAUCUGAUGGUUUUAUAAAGGGCUUUUCCCCCUUUUGUUUGGCACUUCACCUUGCUGCUGCCACAUGAAGAAGGAUGUGUUUGCUUCUUCUUCCACCAUGAUUGUAAGUUUACUGAGGUCUCCCCAGCCAUGCUGAACUGUGAGUCAAUUAAACCUCUUUCCUUUAUAAAUUACCCAGUCUCUGGUAUGUAUUUAUUAGCAGCAUGAGAAUGGACUAAUAUGCGUAUGAUCUAGCAAUCCCACUACUGGGCUUAUGUCUGAAAGAAAUGAAAUCAAUAUGUCGAAGAGGGACAUCUGCACUGUCAUGUUUGUUGCAUUAGUAUUCACAAUAGCCAGAUUAUGGAAUCAAGCCAAAUGCUCAUCAACAGAUGAAUGGAUAAAGAGAUUAUUAUAUGCAAUGAAACAGUAUUCACCCACAGAAAAGGAUGAAAUCCUGUCAUUUGUGACAAUACGGAUGAGCCUGGAGGACAUUUUGUUAAGUGAAAUAAGCCAAGCACAGAGACACAUAUAUACUAUAAGAUAUCACCCAUAUGUGGAAUCUAAAAAAAUUAACUGAUACAAGUUGAGAGUAGAACAGUGGUUACCAGAGACUGAGGAGAAUAAUGAGAAUGGGGAGAAGGGGAGAAGGUGGUCAACAGGUGAACUGUUACAGUUAGACAGGAGAAAUAAGUACUGCUGCUCUUUUGCACAGUAGAGUGACUAUAGCUAACUAUAAUGCAUUGUAUAUUUCACAUAUCUAAA